rnacentral:misc_RNA from 1 species
AUUUAAUAUGUGAUCCAAGGUUUUGGGAUGAAAUUUUGCUUAAAAGAGGUUUUAGUUAGGUGGAUACUGCAUGAAGUUUGAAAUUUUAAUGAAGUUUGUUGUAAAUUUGAUUCGUUGUAAUUAGCGUCGACUAUCUACUAUUUUGUAUGCGUGUGUGUGUUGGGCUACAUCUGUCUUUGAUUAUAGGGAUUUAGGUGACAUGGCGGAUAACCC